GCCGGGUGUGAUGGUACACACCUGUAAUCCCAGCAACUCGGGAGGCUGAGGCAAGAGAAUUGUGAGUUCAAAGCCAGCCUCAGAAACUUAGCAAGGCCCGAAGUAACUUAGUGAGACCUUGUCUCUA
rnacentral:sRNA from 1 species